AUUGAAAGCUGUCGGCAGGCCUAACACAUGCAAGUCGAGCGUAUUAACGGAGCUUGCUCCUGUAUUCAGCGGCGUACGGGUGAGUAAUGCCUAAGAAUCUGCCUGGUAGUCUGAGAUAACGCCCCGACACGGGCCCUACUACCUCAGAUGUCCAGACGUCCAACGUCUGGGGCCUGCGGCCAUCGCGCUAUCAGAUGAGCCUUACUCUGGUUAGCUAGUUGGUCGGGUAAAGGCCUAACAAGGCGACGAUCCGUAACUUGUCUGAGAGGAUGAUCAGGCACACUGGAACGGAGAAACGGUCCAGACUCCUACGGGAGGCAGCAGUGGGGAAUAUUGGAUAAUGCGCGCAGGUCUGAUCCAACCAUGCCGCGUGUGGGAAGAAGGUCUUCGGAUUGUAAAGCACUUUAAGUUGGGAGGAAGGGCAGUAAGUUAAUACCUUGCUGUUUUGACGUUACCCACAGAAUAAGCACCGGCUAACUUCGUG
rnacentral:rRNA from 1 species